rnacentral:lncRNA from 1 species
CGUGCGUGUGUGUAUGUGUGUGUAUGUUUAUGAUGUUGCUUCCUUUCUCAACAGCUGGCCUCCUCCUCCUCCUCCCUCAAGCAGUGUCAGUUUCUUCCUGACGUAGACUCAGCCGAUGAUGAUCCGUUCAGUCCUUUUUGUGAGUAGUUAAGGAGUUUCCUGUUGAAAUAGGAGUCUACGUGGGUACAGGAAAAGGAGGGAAAAAAAGGCAUUUUAUUCUGGCUGUUCCUUGGAUGUGUUCCGCUCAGGGUUGAAAAUUCUCACUCGUACAAAUCAAGGUCCUUAAGGCUACUAUUUGUCCCAGAGCACAUAAGGAAGGAAAAGGAGGCUUGGAAACAAAGAGUCGCCCUGGAAAGUUUGCUUUUGCGCCAUGUCGUCUUCACCAAGGAGCAUCCGACGGGAGGUGCUGCUGACUGGAGUCCUGGCGGACCAGGCCAGAGGACAGCCGUUCCACUAGCCCAGCACAUGUGGGUGGAGACGUCUCCCCUCACACCCUCCCCUCCUACAUCUCCGGCAUCCGCGAUGGUUUAUUAACCAAGAAGAGCCCUGCUUUUUUAAUUCCUCCUCCGUCUUUUCUCCCCUUCCCCUUCCCCUCCCCG